rnacentral:rRNA from 1 species
GACGAACGCUGGCGGUGUGCUUAACACAUGCAAGUCGAACGGUAAGGCCCUUUCGGGGGUCCACGAGUGGCGAACGGGUGAGUAACACGUGAGUAACCUGCCCUCAUCUCUGGGAUAACAGUCGGAAACGGUUGCUAAUACUGGAUAUGAGCUUGCAAGGCAUCUUGUGGGUUGGAAAGAUUUUUUUUGGUUGGGGAUGGACUCGCGGCCUAUCAGCUUGUUGGUGAGGUAGUGGCUCACCAAGGCUUCGACGGUUAGCCGGCCUGAGAGGGCGACCGGCCACAUUGUGACUGAGAUACGGCCCAAACUCCUACGGGAGGCAGCAGUGGGGAAUAUUGCACAAUGGACGGAAGUCUGAUGCAGCAACGCCGCGUGCGGGAUGACGGCCUUCGGGUUGUAAACCGCUUUCAAUUGUGACGAAGCUUUUUUGUGACGGUAGCAGUAGAAGAAGCACCGGCUAACUACGUG